rnacentral:rRNA from 1 species
UGAGACACGGCCCAGACUCCUACGGGAGGCAGCAGUAGGGAAUCUUCCGCAAUGGACGAAAGUCUGACGGAGCAACGCCGCGUGAGUGAUGAAGGUUUUCGGAUCGUAAAGCUCUGUUGUUAGGGAAGAACAAGUGCCGUUCAAAUAGGGCGGCACCUUGACGGUACCUAACCAGAAAGCCACGGCUAACUACGUGCCAGCAGCCGCGGUAAUACGUAGGUGGCAAGCGUUGUCCGGAAUUAUUGGGCGUAAAGGGCUCGCAGGCGGUUUCUUAAGUCUGAUGUGAAAGCCCCCGGCUCAACCGGGGAGGGUCAUUGGAAACUGGGGAACUUGAGUGCAGAAGAGGAGAGUGGAAUUCCACGUGUAGCGGUGAAAUGCGUAGAGAUGUGGAGGAACACCAGUGGCGAAGGCGACUCUCUGGUCUGUAACUGACGCUGAGGAGCGAAAGCGUGGGGAGCGAACAGGAUUAGAUACCCUGGUAGUCCACGCCGUAAACGAUGAGUGCUAAGUGUUAGGGGGUUUCCGCCCCUUAGUGCUGCAGCUAACGCAUUAAGCACUCCGCCUGGGGAGUACGGUCGCAAGACUGAAACUCAAAGGAAUUGACGGGGGCCCGCACAAGCGGUGGAGCAUGUGGUUUAAUUCGAAGCAACGCGAAGAACCUUACCAGGUCUUGACAUCCUCUGACAACCCUAGAGAUAGGGCUUCCCCUUCGGGGGCAGAGUGACAGGUGGUGCAUGGUUGUCGUCAGCUCGUGUCGUGAGAUGUUGGGUUAAGUCCCGCAACGAGCGCAACCCUUGAUCUUAGUUGCCAGCAUUCAGUUGGGCACUCUAAGGUGACUGCCGGUGACAAACCGGAGGAAGGUGGGGAUGACGUCAAAUCAUCAUGCCCCUUAUGACCUGGGCUACACACGUG